UUGGCUUAUGGUUUUUCAAAUUGAAAAACAGUUGUCGCCAAGAUCGUCAUGAAGUGUGUUGUCCUAUUUUGUACAUUUGUUAUAUGGCUUAGUGUUGCCAUGGGAGCACCUAAGAAGUGCGUAGACACCAAUGGGAAUCCUACUGUGUGCCCGAGACGCUGUCCCCCUGCAAUAUGCGAUUUACAUCCUUUUUUCCCUCGUUAAGGUUAAAAACAAGAAUAACAAUAAUUAUGUUUCUUUAUGUAUGUAUAUGAAUCAUAAAAAAUAAAUUUAAAAAUGUA